GCUGGCGUAGCUCAAUUGGCAGAGCAGCGGUUUUGUAAACCGCAGGUUGCGGGUUCGAGUCCCAUCGCCAGCUCCA
rnacentral:tRNA from 1 species